GGAAUUUUGGGCAAUGGGCGAAAGCCUGACCCAGCAACGCCGCGUGUGGGAUGAAGGCCCUCGGGUCGUAAACCACUGUCAGGAGGAAAGAAAAGUCGGUCGGAUAAUACUCGGUCGACCUGACGGUACCUCCGACGGAAGCACCGGCUAACUCCGUGCCAGCAGCCGCGGUAAUACGGAGGGUGCAAGCGUUGUUCGGAAUUACUGGGCGUAAAGCGCGUGUAGGUGGUUCGGUAAGUCGAAUGUGAAAGCCCCGGGCUCAACCCGGGAAGUGCGUCCGAAACUGCCGAACUAGGGUCCCGGAGAGGAAGGCAGAAUUCCCAAUGUAGGGGUGAAAUCCGUAGAUAUUAGGAGGAAUACCGGUGGCGAAGGCGGCCUUCUGGACGGUGACUGACACUCAGACGCGAAAGCGUGGGGAGCAAAC
rnacentral:rRNA from 1 species